rnacentral:tRNA from 1 species
GGUCCCGUAGCUCAACGGAUAGAGCGUUUGACUACGAAUCAAAAGGUUGGAGGUUCGAAUCCUCUCGGGACUAC